rnacentral:misc_RNA from 1 species
GUGGUCAUUCAGACUAAGCUCCAUGGGGCAACUGCAAUUAAGGCUAUAAGGUAUAGGAUGAUACCAAUCCCAGUGUUUCCUACACCAACAUGGUGCACAAUAAAAGAUAGGGAAAGAGCAUCAGCCACUUUAAUAUUAUUGGCAAAGUGAAUAUAGUAUAGAAAAAUUACUUAUUCAUACAGAAUUUUCAAGUAAUAGAAGGCCUCGACUCUCCAGCUAAAAGCAGGGCAACAUGUGAAUUACUG